UGAAGCCUCAGAGCAGCAGAACCCAGGAAGUGUGGAGUGUCACUUCUGGAAAGGGCCACCCAGGAGCCACUGAGAGGCAGAAGUACUAGCCUGGCUGCUGUUAACUCUGGGUGUUCCUCAGUCCACGUGAGAAUAAAAGCCAGGUCGACACCAUGGUGGGACUUCAUGAAGAGGACUGUAAUCAGAAGUGAAGCCAUCUGAUUAUGUCCUACCUGCCUUCGUGUCUUGGUGACAGCACACAUGGAAUCUGCAGGUGGAUCAUGGCUACACAGGUACAGUCUCCUCCCUGGAAUGGAGCUCCUCCUGGAGUCAGACUGGAGAACCCCCGGGACCUGGCAGCUGGGCAGCAUAGUCAGCAUGGUCUGCUCCCCGCAAACUUCUGGGUGAGCUGGAAAGGCUAUGCAUCUGCAUCCCCGGAGAGCCCCUCAGACUUCUGGAUGAGCUCAGCCCUCGUC
rnacentral:lncRNA from 1 species